rnacentral:rRNA from 1 species
GAGUGAGCGGCAAAAGCUCAAAUUUGAAAUCUAACACUUUCAGUGUUCGAGUUGUAAUUUGAAGAAAGUUUCUCUGAGUAGUCCUUUAUCUAUGUUCCUUGGAACAGGACGUCAUAGAGGGUGAGAAUCCCGUAUGAUUUUGGAUACUAUUCUUUGUGAGAUUCUUUCGAAGAGUCGAGUUGUUUGGGAAUGCAGCUCUAAGUGGGUGGUAAAUUCCAUCUAAAGCUAAAUAUUGGCGAGAGACCGAUAGCGAACAAGUACAGUGAUGGAAAGAUGAAAAGAACUCUGAAGAGAGAGUGAAAAAGUACGUGAAAUUGCUGAAAGGGAAGGGCUUUAGGUCAGACUUGGUGUUUAAUGAUUAUCUUCUCUUUUUGAGUUGUGCACUCGUUUUUCACUGGGCCAAUAUCAGUUUUUGUGGUAGAGCACCUAUUGGAAUGUAGCUUUUCUUCGGAUGAGUGUUAUAGCCUUUAGACGAUCUAUUUACGGAGACUGAGGACUGCGCGUUAUGCUAGGAUAUUGGCGUAAUGACCUUAAGCYGCCCGUCUUGAAACACKGAYGCA